AUAAAAAUAAAAAGCGAUAUAGCGCCAUAUUCUGGGAGUUCAAUUAAAAGAUAUUUCACGUAGGUUUUUAAGGAAAACCUAGGUAUAUGAGUUCGUAAAACAAAACAAAAAAGAUGCUUUUGAAAAAAGUAAUUAAGAAAUAUUGACACAAUAUAUUACCUCUGAGUUGGUACAUGUAACCGAAGUUAACACAAAUAAAAAUAAUAAUAAAAG
rnacentral:lncRNA from 1 species